rnacentral:lncRNA from 1 species
UGAGAAGGCGGUUUAAUUGAAGAAAAUCUGCAGAAAAUCUUUUCCAUCGUGGCACGAUGGCUUGUCAUAGUGGCACGAUGAUGACUUGAAAAAUACGCAGAAAAUCCUGAGAAGAUCUUCCAUCGCACCACGAUAAGAUCCAUCGUGGCCACGAUGAGGCGAAAAUACACGCCAUCGUGGCCACGAUGGGUGCGAUUGAUGCGCAGAAAAAGC